CGGGCUGUGUUAAUCAAGCCGGAAGUGUUUGGCUUCAGAGAACACCACAUUACAGGUGAAUUUUCUGCCGCCACGUCACUCAGACGCAAACAAGUCAACAUGGAGGAUGAUACUAACUAAGUGAGCCACAGCAGCGUCUCAUCAAGCCAAUUCAUCACGGCGCCGGGCGGAUCUUCCCAGCACAGCAGACUCUUGAUGAAGUCAAGUUGCAUAUUUACUUUCAUGUGAGUGUGAAUCCCGGCCAUUGUCCUGUAACAUCAUUGAUAUAA